rnacentral:rRNA from 1 species
UACGGAGGGGGCGAGCGUUAUUCGGAAUUACUGGGCGUAAAGUGUGCGCAGGCGGCCGAGCAAGUCGAGUGUGAAAGCCCCGAGCUUAACUUGGGAACUGCGCUCGAAACUACUUGGCUAGAGUGUGGCAGAGGGAGGUGGAAUUCCACGUGUAGCGGUGAAAUGCGUAGAGAUGUGGAGGAACACCGAUGGCGAAAGGCAGCCUCCUGGGCCAACACUGACGCUCAUGCACGAAAGCGUGGGGAGCAAACAGG